GACGAACGCUGGCGGCGUGCCUAACACAUGCAAGUCGAACGAACAGCGACUAGUUGCUUGCUACUGGUGAAGGUGAGUGGCGAACGGGUGAGUAACACGCGGGUCACCUAUCUCAUAGUGGGGGAUAACAGUCGGAAACGACCGCUAAUACCGCCUAGGACAUAGGAUCACAUGAUUAUGUGUGGCGAGGUGGCGCAAGCUAUCGCUCAGUGAUGGACCUGCGGUGCAUUAGCUAGUUGGUAGGGUAAAGGCCUACCAAGGCGAUGAUGCAUAGCCGACCUGAGAGGGUGAUCGGCCACAGUGGGACUGAGACACGGCCCAAACUCCUACGGGAGGCAGCAGUAGGGAAGCGUGGGCAAAGGGCGCAAGACUGACCGAGCAACGCCGCGUGGAUGAAGAAGGUCUUCGGGUCGUAAAGCGCUGUUGUGGGGGAAGAACAGCGUAUAGAGGAACUAAGAUGCUUGUGACGGUACCAAAACAAAAAGCCACGGCUAACUACGUG
rnacentral:rRNA from 1 species